AACCGUUAAACUGCCCUUGAAACCGCUUGACUUGAGGACAUGAGAGGAAAGCGGAAUUCUUGGUGUAGCGGUGAAAUGCGUGGAUAUCAAGAGGAACACCAGUGGCGAAGGCGGCUUUCUGGCAUGUUGCUGACGCCGAGGAACGAAAGUCAGGGGAGCGAACGGGAUUAGAUACCCCGGUAGUCCUGACCGUAAACGAUGGGCACUAGGUGUGGGAGGUAUCGACCCCUUCCGUGCCGCAGCUAACGCAUUAAGUGCCCCGCCUGGGGAGUACGGCCGCAAGGUUGAAACCCAAAGGAAUUGACGGGGGCCCGCACAAGCGGUGGAGCAUGUGGUUUAAUUCGAUGAUACGCGAAGAACCUUACCGGGGUUUGACAUGCAGGUGACCGCCGUUGAAAGACGGUUUCCCCGCAAGGGGUACCUGCACAGGUGCUGCAUGGCUGUCGUCAGCUCGUGUCGUGAGAUGUUGGGUUAAGUCCCGCAACGAGCGCAACCCUUAUCCCCAGUUGCCAUCAGGUAAUGCUGGGAACUCUGGGGAGACUGCCGGUGAUAAACCGGAGGAAGGCGGGGAUGACGUCAAGUCCUCAUGGCCCUUACAUCCCGGGCUACACACGUGCUACAAUGGCGGGUACAGAGGGCUGCGAAGCCGCGAGGUGGAGCGAAUCCCAGAAAACCCGUCUCAGUCCGGAUUGCAGUCUGCAACCCGACUGCAUGAAGGCGGAAUCGCUAGUAACCGCGAAUCAGCAGGUCGCGGUGAAUACGUUCCCGGGCCUUGUACACACCGCCCGUCAAGCGAUGGAAGCCGGAGGUACCCGAAGUCGGU
rnacentral:rRNA from 1 species